CAUGUCCUUUUGAAAAUAAUUUAAGGUCUAAUCUGCUCAAUGAAUAUUAAAUGGCCGCAGUAUUUUGACUGUGCAAAGGUAGCAUAAUAAUUAGUUUCUUAAUUAGAAACUGGAAUGAAUGAUUGGACAAGAAAAUUUCUGUCUCUUUCUUAAUAUAGUUGAAUUUUAUUUUUAAGUGAAAAAGCUUAAAUUUUUAUAAAAGACGAGAAGACCCUAUAGAGUUUGAUAAUUUUAUUUAAUUAGAAUUUGGAAUGUUAAUUUAAUUAUAAUUAUUUAAUUGGGGUGAUUAAAAGAUAAAUUUAAUUCUUUUAAUAUUUAAUUGAUAAUUAUUAAUUUAAGUAUCUAUAGUUUAUAAAACUAAAAUAAAUUACCUUAGGGAUAACAGCGUAAUUUUUCUUGAAAGUUCUUAUUGAAGGGAAAGUUUGCGACCUCGAUGUUGGAUUAAAAUUAAUUUUUGGUGCAGUAACUUAAAAAUUAGGUCUGUUCGACCUUUAAAAUUUUACAUGAUCUGAGUUUAGACCGGUGUGAGCCAGGUUGGAUUCUAUCUUUAGAUAAUUAUAAUAUUUUAGUACGAAAGGACCAAAUAUUUAUUAAAUUAAUUG
rnacentral:rRNA from 1 species